rnacentral:lncRNA from 1 species
UCCUAUUUACACCUAUCUAUCUAUCUUGGUUAAGUUAGAGCGUAGUUGGUUCUCCCGUUUCCCUGUGGAUAUGAUAAAACCUUUAACCGGGUAAAAGCUAUAAUAGUAUCCGUGCGCUUGCGGAUUUAUUUGUGUGCGUAUAAAUACCAUAGUACACUCUAGUGCCAUGCUGGGGAUGACAACCUAGUAUUCAAGUGGUGUUAGCAAGUGUCAACAAGCUUUUUGGCGCCGUUGCUGGGGAGACGGUUGCUGAGUUGAGUACGAACUAGCUUAAUCAUUUUUCCAAAAAUAAAAAAAAGAAAAUAUAAUAUAUUUUUCCUUCUAUCCUUUGCCUCAUCUCUACUAUUCUUUCUUCUUAUCUAAUCCUUGAUCUCU